CCUACGGGUGGCAGCAGUAGGGAAUCUUCCACAAUGGGCGAAAGCCUGAUGGAGCAACGCCGCGUGGGUGAAGAAGGUCUUCGGAUCGUAAAACCCUGUUGUUAGAGAAGAAAGUGCGUGAGAGUAACUGUUCAUGUUUCGACGGUAUCUAACCAGAAAGCCACGGCUAACUACGUGCCAGCAGCCGCGGUAAUACGUAGGUGGCAAGCGUUAUCCGGAUUUAUUGGGCGUAAAGGGCACGCAGGCGGUCUGUUAAGUCUGAUGUGAAAGCCUUCGGCUUAACCGGAGUAGUGCAUUGGAAACUGGGAAACUUGAGUGUAGAAGAGGAGAGUGGAACUCCAUGUGUAGCGGUGAAAUGCGUAGAUAUCUGGAAGAACAUCAGUGGCGAAGGCGGCUGUCUGGUCUGUAACUGACGCUGAGGUUCGAAAGCGUGGGUAGCAAACAGGAUUAGAUACCCUAGUAGUC
rnacentral:rRNA from 1 species